rnacentral:rRNA from 1 species
GAUGAACGCUGGCGGCGUGCCUAAUACAUGCAAGUCGAGCGAACGGACGAGAAGCUUGCUUCUCUGAUGUUAGCGGCGGACGGGAGAGUUACACGUGGAUCCCCUAACUUUAAGACUGCGAUAACUUCGGGAAACCGGAGCUAAUAACGGAUACUAUUUUGAACCGCAUGGUUCAAAAGUGAAAGACGGUCUUGCUGUCACUUAUAGAUGGAUCCGCGGUGUAUUAGCUAGUUGGUAACGUAACGGCUUCCCAAGGCAAGGAUGCAUAGCCGACCUGUGAAGGUGAACGGCCACAGUGGGACUGAGACACGGUCCAGACUCCGACGGGAGGCAGCGAUAGGGAAGCGUCGGAGAUGGGCGGAAGCCUGACGGAGCAGCGGCGCGUGAGUGAAGAAGGGCUUCGGAUCGUAAAACGCUGUUAUGAGGGAAGAACAUAUUUGUAAGUAACGGUGCACAUCGUGACGGUACCUAAACAGGAAGCCACGGCUAACUACGUG